UCAAUUUUCCAUCAUGGUGCAAUUAGAAAAUUCUUUGGUGCAAUUAGGAAUUUAAUAUUUUUUGUUUUCAACACGUUUCUGUUUUUGUUGCGCGUUCAUGCUGUGUAGUUUGAUCCUGUACUAUGAAAUUCCGUUUUGAAAUUCUAUGGUUCUGUUGCGAUUCGCUUGAUCGUACCCGAGUAAUUUCAAUGAUUCGAUGAUACGAGAUCUGUGUUCAAGUAAAAAUAUGAAGUUGAGUGAAACGGAGAUUGGAGAUUGGCUAUUGGUGAUUGGCCGGAAUAUGAUUGAAUCUUAAUCGAUAAAUGAUUCGGAUCGGAAUUUUUCAACUGUGAACGGUAUAUUUAUCUUUGUUCAUGAAUCGGUGAUUUGGAGAUUACACGAGUUUCAAAUUCCAACGAAACCAGUGAUUGGAGAAGGUGAUCAGAAGAAUUCCGGUGAUCAGUGCAAUUGGGAAAUUGGUUCAGUUGAAAUGCGGUGCUGUCGAUUGGUGUUGAUCGUUCAUACGGCGCCUUCAAUUCGGUAAAGUAUGAGCACGUGAAGCUGCUGUAAUUCAGUUUUGGAACUUUUGGAAACAAUCAACGUGAAUGCUAUUGAAGCAUUUUAUCAAAUGGCGUGAAUUCAUGAACGUUGAAACUGGAAUUGGAAGCUUGAACUGGAGAAUCAACCUCCCUGAAACAACAUUCAAUUCACUGCAAUGUUCUUUUUCGAUGGAGGAGUUAUAAUCGAGAAUAGCUUGUAGCUAUUUUAAUUUGGCACUGGCACGCUGCAGUUUUCUUCUUCGGUUGAUUGGAGUUCUUUUUAGUGAUUGGUGCUGCGUUGCUGUUUUGUUUACGCUGCAUUUGAAGGUAACAAAUUCGGCAACUCGUUGUGUGAAAAAAACCAGUUAAAUCAAUUGAGGAAAUUCAUUCGUUGUUCGAAUAUGGUCCAAACUGUGGAAUUUGAAGAAACAUUUCUUCAAACAACUGGCAUGGUGGUGGUGUGAUUUAUUGAGGCAGCUUGUUCACUCCAUUCUUUGAAUCAAAUCAUAAUAAUAUGUUAGGGUUAAUUGUGGUUCUCCGCUCGUCCCUGUCUCUGAUGCACUCCCCUCUCGUUCUCUUACGGAUUCCUCACUCCGGUGACUCACCGCCACUGGCAGGGUUCAAAUCUUGUUUAUCAAAUCAGACUCAAAACCUAACAGAAUUAACCUACAAUAAGAGUUAUUACAAAAGUCCCGCCCAUCUAACCGGGACUUGACCUCAAGGCCAUAUACGACUGCAACCACUGAGUCUGGAAAUUGAAGCUGCGUUUGGUAUAGCUCCUUCCAUACCGCAUCUUCCGGAUUAUUGUCUUUCCACUGGAUCAACACUUCUGUUCCGGUUGAUUGUUCUUCUUCAUUCUUCUUGCCAAAACAGCAAAGGUUGAGAAACAAAUUGUCCUUCACUUUCAACGAACGGUGGUUGUUUAGAGACAGCUUUAUUCCAUGUUUUUUUUAGUAAGGACACAUGGAUAACAUUGUGAAUUUUAGCUUUAGGAGGCAAGUCGAGUUUAAAAGCAACCUUCCAUUGCUUUCUAAAUCUCUGUAAGUACCCUAAAACUUUGCAGCUAAUUUAUGGAAGUUAGUAUUAUAUAACGA